UAGAUAGAUCGUGUACAACACCACAAUGUAUAAUAAUGCUACGGUAACUCGAAUUUUCCCUAUCCAAGGAUUCUUUGUGGUAGCCAUUAAUCACACACUGUUGUAUCAGGUUUGUCAAUCAGAAUUGUAUUUUUAUAAAUAUAAGUCAUACACUUGGGACCCUCCCACUACUCGUCAUCUUUACUAUCAAUAUUUCACGUUUAUUUGCAUGGAUGGACCAAAAACCCAUGGCUAUGGCGAAGAUGGUUUGCUUGUGGAAUUUCUGGUUCUAUUCCUUUGUGUACAGUAAUGUCAUUAGAUGUGAUGUGUUGUUAUGAUUGUUGUUUGGGUUUUUAUUCCACUACCCAUCUUUAACAAACACCAUAAUUAUUAUCAGACAAUGUCAUUCCAUCAUUUUCAAACUUAUAAUUUUAGAUAAAGAAUAUUAUUGAAGGUAAUUAAAAUGUAAUUGAAAAUACUCUUCAGGUGUUUUUUUUUUAUCAUUAUUAUUAUUAGAAUGUAUUAAUUUUUUAGAAAUACAUUUAAUUUCCUGUAAUUGAAAGCAAAGUAUCUAGUGGUUGUGCACGAAUUUUAUUUUCAAGAAAAAGCUGCAUUUUGUGAUUCCCCACUAAUGAUGUAUAUUACAAAACUAUUGAUAAAUUUUAUAGUACUAUCAAUAUAUCUGAUAUCUCAAAUAAUACAUUCUAUAUCACUAACAACUAUUCUAAAUUACUAACGGUAUAUUGUAGAUCAAUAGGUAUCAGAGCGUUAUGUAGAGUUGGUACAUGUGAUGAAGACAAAAUAUCGUUAUAUAAUAGGCAGCCAUUUGUUCACAAAUACAACACCGGUAAUUUCUACAAUGUCUGGUGGCAAAUUGUUUAUGAUAUGGUCAUAGAGCUAAAAACAAAUGCUGUCAAUACGUGCCCAAAUUAAAUUUACAAAAGAUGCAAUAUUUGAUAACGACAGAUAAUAGUUUUACAUUGAGUGUAGAUGCAUGCGUAAUGUUUUAAUUUGGAGACUUUUUAUGCAUAUUGAUUUGUCUUAUUAUGUUUAAAUGCUGUUCUACAUGGGUUGAUUUAAGAUUUAUGACCAUCGAAUCUCGUGUCAUAAUGUUUUAAUUUUAUCAGUUUACUAUCAGAAUGCAUAGAUUAAAACUGAUUGUGUUAGAAGUACGGACUGCAAGUAUGCAAGUGCUAAUCAUUUAAAGUAUUUAAGUGGUAUAGGUGAAUGUUUUUGUUCCGUGUUGAGUUCUGUCUGUUUAUUCAUAAGUACGUGUACAAAAAUAGAUUCGAGAAACGUAGUAUCGUAUAAUUUCCCCUACAUGUAUAUUACCCUCGAUUACUCUGAAUUCCUCACAGGAUGUGAUAUCAUUCCCAGAUAAUGUAAAGUUCAUCAAGUGUAGAAAUGCUUAAUAAAAGAGUACGAGGUUUCCCUUCACUGCAUCGCAUUCGCCGAUAUUUCUGUAAUUUCCUGUAUCAACGGCAAAACAAACAACGAAUCGUUUUAUAGCCCGAUAGAGGGCACUCCCGUAGACACUCCUGUAUGUGGUUUUACUAUGGUCUCUGUAAAGAGCAUAAUAUAAAACCUUGCUUGGCCUCAUUGCCUGGCUUAGCCUCGAAAGUUGGCUUGGCCCCAAAUACAAUCUAAUUAAAUUAGAUCCUAUGAUCCGCUCAUGUGUAGUGGUAGUAGAUGAGCGGAUCAUAGGAUCUAAUUUUAAUUAGAUUGGCCCCAAAUAUGGCCUCUAAUUUAGCUCCAACUCAAAAUUUUGGCCUGACCUCAAAAGUUGACCAGGCCCCAAGACCAUAAACCGAGAACAGACUUACGUCAAAAUUAUGAUUACUUUUAUCUUAAGAUUUAUGUACCACAUAUGUGUAAAAAAAAAAAAAAAAAACAACAACAACAACAAAAAAACAACAAAAAAACAAACAAACAAAAAAAACUACAGGUAGAUAAAAAAAAAUGUAAUUGCAAACUUAUAUGUAUACUGAAAGUUUUAUUUGUUUAUGAAAAUUAUUUCAAUAGUUAGCUGGAUUUGAAAUUUAGAUUUAAGUCUAUUCUCAGUUUAUGGUCUUGAGGACUGGCCUCAAAGUUGAUCUGUAAAAAAAAUAUUUUCACAUUGAAAGCAAGACCAUAUGCCCUGUUCUCAAUGUGUUUUGCUCUCCAAAUCAAAGUCGCCAUGGCUGAUUAAACUUUGGUAGUAUCUGAAUUGACAGUGUAUCCGUCUGAAUACAGAGAGACCCAAUAAACCAAUCAUUUCAUCUGCAGUGCAGUUCAUGUACGCACUAGUUCAUAAUUUAGGAAUGAAAAAGAAAAUCGUUCAAUCAAUGAACUUAUCAAUAGAUAUUCAAUCAGAUCAGUUAUAGUGAAUUAUCAAUUUCAUGUGCAUACUUACAAAACAUAUCUACUUACUAUGACUUUGAAAGAGUAAAACCAAAAAAUCAAUAAAAUCAAUUGCAAUUCUGAUUUUAUUUUUUUUUUUUUUUUUUUUUUUUUGCUUCAGGCUAUAAAGUUUUUUUUAGUGGCCAGGUCAACUUUUGAGGUCAUGCCAAAAUAUAGGUUGGCCAAAAUUUAGAGGCCAAAAUUGGGACCUGGUGAACUUUGAGGUAAAGCUACGCCAAGUUUUAUAGUAUGCCUUGGCGACCUUGGCAAAUAUUCACAGUCACCUUCAGUCAAGGAGCAGCUAGUUUCGUCAAAUGGAAGUCCUUGGUCUAGUGGGUGAGGCUUUGGAUUCCCUAGCCAAGGACGGUGUUCCCUGAAACUGAAACACCGUGCAGCCUCCGUGAGUAUCUGCAGUGAUAUAAUCAUACCCUCGAAUUAAAGGCGGCGAAACUCUAGUUCUUAAACCUUCAAUCAGAAGUUGACAGGGGCUGAAUGACAAGGAACGGUUGGAUCAUAUCGAGACACGGGCUAUCCUGAGAGAAAUCAAAAUUCUGUAGGUUUAGGAAAAUAUCUACAAAAGAAACUGUAUCUGCCUUUCCUAUUAAAACUAGAGAAAUUCUGCAAAUCAUUGAAUUCAGAAUUACAAAAUGUACUGUAACACCCGGAAGCCAUCAAAGAUGUUUUCAUAGGGAGUAGUCCCUCUUACAUGUAUCAUUGAGGAAUGGAGGAUUCGGAUAAACAAAGUGUUCAUGCGAAUAAUGAUUUUUAACGGAUUGAAUAUUCUCAUCAGGGUUUUACCUUGUAUCAAUGGUAUAUUCUCGGAAUGUUGGAAUAUUCUCGGAGUGAUAGGAUGCGUUAUAUAACAUUUUGUAUUAAUAAAUGUAAUUUUAGCACACUUUCUUCAGAGAUAAAAACAAAUGUAUGAAUUCUUGUACAAAUGUAAAUAUGUAUGUUAGAAAAUUCUCUUUAGUGGUAGCAACGCUGUAUAAAACUUUUUUUGUUUUGUUAUAUGAUUGAAUGGUUCAGAGUAUUCUGAUUGGCUGAUAUUUAGCAAACUAGAAAAAAAGUGGAAUGUUAUGUUCACCUUUAUGUAUCUUUGAGGUGAAUAUAAGAUUUCAUUUCUUCAACAUCGAACCAGAUAUGAAUUGGGAAUUUCUAAAUUGACACGAAUAUUACUUCUCGUUCACGUGAAGAUUCGCGCCUCUAAUCACUUACCACUAGAUCUAUCACUCUUCCUGUAAACAGAGAUGGCCGACACGGUAUUAUCUGUUUUGCUCUGAUAGCUGGUUUGGAUGUUUUAAAGUACUCAAUUAUGUAAGAAACAAAAAUUAGCGGUUUUUAAAAAUAAUUUUCGACUAGGACUUGUACCCUAGCUGAGUGUAAAAACUGACCAGGUAAUAUAGAUUUCAUAGGUUCUAGUAGCCAGUUUUGAUUUUUCAAAUUAUGCAAUUAUAUAAUGAAACAAUUGUUGACAUAUUUGCGGUCAAUACGAUGAUUUAGUUACCUUUGAAAUACAACAUACAAUUUGCCCGUCUUGAUCAGUGAAUAUUAAAUCUCUCAGAUGGCUGCAUCAUCCUACCGACCUCAAAAGUGUCAACAAUUGUAUUGCAUAUCUAUAUUGGCAUAACUGUAAUCUUGUUGUAUGAAACCUGGUAUAAAUAAUAUAUGCACGUUGGCACAUUUUCUUCAGUGAUAGCAACACUGUAUAAAAACUGCAUUAAGGUAUAACUAUGUUGGCACAUUUUCUUCUCUCCAAGGAUAGAAACACUGCGCAAACGAAGAAAAUUGCACCUGAUCGUGUGUGCGGUGUGUUUGCACCUGAUCGUGUGUGCGGUAUGGUUGCACCUGGUCGUGUGUGUGGUGUGUUCUGUUGGCCUCUCGUUAGUUCCCAUUGUCUUUUUAUACAUCGGUAAUGGGGUCUUCCUUUGGAUGUCGUAUAUAGAGAUUGCAUUCCGAUGCUUCACAAUCGUGGAACAACUUAACAGCAAAUACCUCUCUUGUUGUCUUCUUAAAACAAUGCAUUUAAAUCUUAAUAUCACAGUAAACAUGUGUUAGUCAAUAGCUGAUCAAUAGUUUUUAAUAAAUCAAUGUCUGCAGAAUAAAAGUAGCUUCCCGUUGUGAAAGUCAUUGCAGCACAAAACCUUCCCUGUUGUCUGUAUGCAAAAUUGUUGUUUACAUGUACUUAACAUGCCUAAAUCGUUUCUCCCUUAAGUACAUCUACCAUCAGAUCAUCUGGUGAUGUUGCAAAGUCUAUAGAUAAAAUUUGUCUUCUUCCCACAAGUAUUCUCGUGGAUUCGUGCGUGUAAGUAGAGGAAAUCCAGUCUUUGUAUGAAAUACUUUUCAUUUGUGAUUUCCUCAUUGGUAAACCAUCACGAAGGUUAAUACUGCACGUAAUCAAUAUGUUCGAUCGCCUUGUCAUGGGUGCACUUUCGGGAAACUCUAAUAAGAGCUGCAAGUGACCCUUUACGAGGUGUUUUGUAGUUAUUAGCUGCAGAUCUGUAGCGUUAUGGUUUUAUAUUCUUGUCUUUGACCAUAACGCUACAGUUCCUGUAACGUAAAUAUUGUGCAAUUUACGGCGCAAGAUUUUCUGCGCACGUUUGGGGAUGUAUUUAUCCACUUUCCAGCAUUGGGCAAUCAUCUACCCUUCAUUCCCUAAUUGUAAACAUAUUUUAUUACCAACCUGUAUAUUUUAUCCACCUCUCAAUCCUUUAUAACCGAUAAACUCGCUUGUUUUGAAUUUUCUGCCAUCCGAUCUCGUCAGUAGGUCAACAUAGCUGUCGGAUGGCAGAAAAUUCAAAACAAGCGAGUUCAUCGGUCUGUAGAGACGAUUAUAAAGGAUUGAGAGGUGGAUAAAAUAUACAGGUUGGUAAUAAAAUAUGUUUACAAUUAGGGAAUGAAGGGUAGAUGAUUGCCCAAAGCUGGAAAGUGGAUAAAUACAUCCCAAAACGUGCGCAGAAAAUCUUGCGCCGUAAAUUGCACAAUAUUUACGUUACAGGAACUGUAGCGUUAUGGUCAAAGACAAGAAUAUAAAACCAUAACGCUUCAGCUAUGUAGUUAUCAGAUACCAAUCGUAACUACUCAGCCAUUUUCACAAGCGAUAGUUGCUUGCAAAAAAUGGCAGAGUAGGCCUAGUUACGAAUGUAUCAGAUUCUAGGAUAGUCGACAGUCACGUGACGCGUUUUAUCCAAUGAUUUAAUCUGAGGCAAAACAAACCCAUUUGAGGCUUUGGUAAAUUUUAUUUUAACCUCAUAUGCUCUUUUCACGGGUGCACCUAUAUUUUACAGUUUUCUUCAUGGAUAGAUCUGUGUAAAUGAUGUACCAAGCACAUUCCUCUGUAUGAGAAUCACAAAAUCAUGAUAGUGUAAUGUUCCAUAUUUUUACGAAUCAAGUCGAUUUCAAUACACUAAUUGCUAUUAUAUAUCUCAGUACAUAUUUCUGUACCAUUACCAUUCUUUUUUAUGUCAUUUCUGGAGAUUAUGUUUUGAUCUUUUAGGCGUUGUAGUAGCUCCAGUUUCCGAUGCUGAAUUUUCCAUUGUUUGGGGGAAUAGAAAUUAAAUACAAUAUAUCAAAUGUGCACAUAUCAUAAAAUAAAAAUGAUGAAUAUGAACCCAGCAUUGCUUUUGAAUUAAGAUAGUUUGUGGUGAUUAAGAAACAGUCAUGGAACAACUUUUCAGCAAAGUGUGUGCAAUUAUUUGCAGGAAUUUUUUCUGUUUUUCUUUUGGUACGUUACAACUACAAUGUGUUGUGUUCAGACACGUCUGUAUAAUUGAUGAUGUUUUUUAUGCCCAACAUGUUGUCAGUUUUAUGUUAUGAAAUAAAAAAGUGAUGCAUUUU